CGUUGGACGCGAAGAACCUUACCUACUCUUGACAUCCACAGAAUUUUCCAGAGAUAGAUUAGUGCCUUCGGGAACUCUGAGACAGGUGCUGCAUGGCUGUCGUCAGCUCGUGUUGUGAAAUGUUGGGUUAAGUCCCGCAACGAGCGCAACCCUUAUCCUUAUUUGCCAACAAGUAAUGGUGGGAACUCCAGGGAGACUGCCGGUGAUAAACCGGAGGAAGGUGGGGACGACGUCAAGUCAUCAUGGCCCUUACGAGUAGGGCUACACACGUGCUACAAUGGCGCAUACAGAGGGCGGCAAACCCGCGAGGGGGAGCGAAUCCCACAAAGCCCGUCGUAGUCCGGAUUGGAGUCUGCAACUCGACUCCAUGAAGUCGGAAUCGCUAGUAAUCGUGAUCAGAUAGAAAAGGUUUCC
rnacentral:rRNA from 1 species